UAUAUAAAAUUAUACUUUAUGAUUUAAGUUAUAAAAAGAAAUUAAAUCUUUUUAAAGAUUAAAUCAUUUUUAUUUAUCAUUUAGUUUAUUAAUUGGAGAUAAGGACAAGCAAAAUCAGUUAUAGAAUUAGGAAAUGAAUUUAGAGCAAAAACUCGCGUUCGUUUCACCGCGCUCCUCUAUUUUACACAGAGUACGACUCACUGGAUAUAGCGCUAUAAAGCGUCCAAAGCGUCGUAUGGAACAGAGUGAGAGAGUGAGCGCAGCAGAGCCAAAGACCCAUCUGAUUCAUCGAUCGAUUCUUGAGGAGAUGAUGUUUCUUCGUCAUUUUGCUAUUUUUAUAUUCAAAAGAGAAGACAUAAAUAUAUAUCAUCAAAUAAAUAAUAUCAUAUCGAAGUAUAUAC